AGCUUUGUGCAGUGGCAGUAUCGCAGCCGGUGAAGUUUAUCUGAGGCACGAUUAUUGCUAAUUGAAAACUUUUCCCAAUAGCCCACCAUGACAACUUAAAAUAUAGUCUGCACUGGCAAUUUUUGACAAUCUCUACGGAGA
ensembl:snRNA U4 U4 spliceosomal RNA